UACGUAGGAUGCAAGCGUUGUCCGGAAUUAUUGGGCGUAAAGCGCACGUAGGCGGUUUCUUAAGAUUGGUCUUAAAGACCGGGGCUCAACCCCGGGAAUGGAUCGAUAACUGGGAGACUGGAGGACGUCAGGGGAAAGUGGAAUUCCGAGUGUAGCGGUGAAAUGCGUAGAUAUUCGGAGGAACACCAGUGGCGAAAGCGACUUUCUGGGACGUUCCUGACGCUGAGGUUCGAAAGCUCGGGGAGCAAACAGG
rnacentral:rRNA from 1 species